rnacentral:rRNA from 1 species
GACAUGAAAGACUAGUGUUAUUCAUCUUUAAUAGGUUUAAAGGGUACUUAGACGGUAUUUCUAGUCAAAAAAGGUACGGAUUUACUAGAGUUUUAUGUGAGAAGGUGAGUAUUUUAGGUGUUAGAGAUGAAAUUUUUUAAAUUACCUUAAGGACUGAUAACGGCGAAAGCAACCUUCUAUGUAAUAACUGACGUUGAGGGACGAAGGCUUGGGUAGCAAACAGG